rnacentral:rRNA from 1 species
GGACCCGCACAAGUAGUGGAGCAUGUGGUUUAAUUCGAAGAUACGCGCAGAACCUUACCAACACUUGACAUGUUCGUCGCGACUUUAAGAGAUUAAAGUUUUCGGUUCGGCCGGACGAAACACAGGUGCUGCAUGGCUGUCGUCAGCUCGUGUCGUGAGAUGUUGGGUUAAGUCCCGCAACGAGCGCAACCCUCACUUUUAGUUGCCAUCAUUAAGUUGGGCACUCUGAAAGAACUGCCAGUGAUAAGCUGGAGGAAGGUGGGGGAUGACGUCAAGUCCUCAUGGCCCUUAGUGUUGGGCUACACACGUGCUACAAUGGUAUUUACAACAGGAAGCAAGACGGCGACGUU